AAGAAUAUGAAGAAGAUCGUUUUGUGAGAUUGACAUUAUCAAGAAAAGAAAAGAAAAAUAUAAAACAAAAACAUAGAGAAAACUCUACAGGAAUAUCAUCAUCGAUUACUGAUAUAGGAGAUAUAGGAGAGUUUGAAUCUU
rnacentral:ribozyme from 1 species